GACGAACGCUGGCGGCGUGCCUAAUACAUGCAAGUUGAGCGCUGAAGGUUGGUACUUGUACCAACUGGAUGAGCAGCGAACGGGUGAGUAACGCGUGGGGAAUCUGCCUUUGAGCGGGGGACAACAUUUGGAAACGAAUGCUAAUACCGCAUAAAAACUUUAAACACAAGUUUUAAGUUUGAAAGAUGCAAUUGCAUCACUCAAAGAUGAUCCCGCGUUGUAUUAGCUAGUUGGUGAGGUAAAGGCUCACCAAGGCGAUGAUACAUAGCCGACCUGAGAGGGUGAUCGGCCACAUUGGGACUGGGACACGGCCCAAACUCCUACGGGAGGCAGCAGUAGGGAAUCUUCGGCAAUGGACGAAAGUCUGACCGGGCAACGCCGCGUGAGUGCAGAAGGGUCUCGGAUCGUAAAACUCUGUUGGUAGGGAAGAACGUUGGGGAGAGUGGAAAGCUCAUCAAGUGACGGUAACUACCCAGAAAGGGACGGCUAACUACGUG
rnacentral:rRNA from 1 species